rnacentral:rRNA from 1 species
GAUGAACGCUAGCGGCAGGCUUAAUACAUGCAAGUCGAGGGGCAGCAGGACUGUAGCAAUCCAGUUGCUGGCGACCGGCAAACGGGUGCGGAACACGUACGCAACCUACCCAAAACUGGGGGAUAGCCCGGGGAAACCCGGAUUAAUACCUCGUAACCUUUUUAAGUGGCAUCACUUGAUAAGUAUAGCUCCGGCGGUUUUGGAUGGGCGUGCGCCUGAUUAGGUAGUUGGUGCGGGUAACGGCCCACCAAGCCUGCGAUCAGUAACUGGUGUGAGGGCACGACCAGUCACACGGGCACUGGGACACGGGCCCGACUCCUACGGGAGGCAGCAGUAAGGAAUAUUGGUCAAUGGACGCAAGUCUGAACCAGCCAUGCCGCGUGAAGGAUGAAGGUCCUCUGGAUUGUAAACUUCUUUUAUGGGGGACGAAACCCGGAUAUUCUUAUCCGAUUGACGGUACCUCAGGAAUAAGCACCGGCUAACUCCGUG